rnacentral:rRNA from 1 species
UACGUAGGGGGCUAGCGUUGUCCGGAAUCAUUGGGCGUAAAGCGCGUGUAGGCGGUUCGGUAAGUCCGCUGUGAAAGUCGGGGGCUCAACCCUCGAAUGCCGGUGGAUACUGUCGGACUAGAGUACGGAAGAGGCGAGUGGAAUUCCUGGUGUAGCGGUGAAAUGCGCAGAUAUCAGGAGGAACACCAAUUGCGAAGGCAGCUCGCUGGGACGUUACUGACGCUGAGACGCGAAAGCGUGGGGGAGCAAACAGG